GACGAACGCUGGCGGCGUGCUUAACACAUGCAAGUCGAACGGAAAGGCCCUGCUUUUGUGGGGUGCUCGAGUGGCGAACGGGUGAGUAACACGUGAGUAACCUGCCCUUGACUUUGGGAUAACUUCAGGAAACUGGGGCUAAUACCGGAUAGGAGCUCCUGCUGCAUGGUGGGGGUUGGAAAGUUUCGGCGGUUGGGGAUGGACUCGCGGCUUAUCAGCUUGUUGGUGGGGUAGUGGCUUACCAAGGCUUUGACGGGUAGCCGGCAUGAGAGGGUGACCGGCCACAUUGGGACUGAGAGACGGCCCAGACUCCUACGGGAGGCAGCAGGGGGGAAUAUUGCACAAUGGGCGGAAGCCUGAUGCAGCAACGCCGCGUGCGGGAUGACGGCCUUCGGGUUGUGAACCGCAUUCGCCUGUGACGAAGCGUGAGUGACGGUAAUGGGUAAAGAAGCACCGGCUAACUACGUG
rnacentral:rRNA from 1 species